GAUGAAGAACGCAGCGAAAUGCGAUAAGUAAUGUGAAUUGCAGAAUUCAGUGAAUCAUCGAAUCUUUGAACGCACAUUGCGCCCGCCAGUAUUCUGGCGGGCAUGCCUGUUCGAGCGUCAUUACAACCCUCAGGCCCCCGGGCCUGGCGUUGGGGAUCGGCGGAGCCCCCCGUGGGCACACGCCGUCCCCCAAAUGCAGUGGCGGUCCCGCCGCAGCUUCCAUCGCGUAGUAGCUAACACCUCGCGACUGGAGAGCGGCGCGGCCACGCCGUAAAACACCCAACUCUCCUGAAGUUGACCUCGAAUCAGGUAGGAAUACCCGCUGAACUUAAGCAUAUCAAUAAGCGGAGGA
rnacentral:misc_RNA from 1 species